AGCAGCCGCGGUAAUUCCAGCUCCAAUAGCGUAUAUUAAAGUUGUUGCAGUUAAAAAGCUCGUAGUUGAAUUUCGGGAUCAAUAUGUCGGUCGUGCCUUCGGUACGUACUGGUAUCAUUGGUCUCUCCUUUCUGACGAACCAUGAUGUCAUUAAUUUGGUGUUAUGGGGAGUUAGGACUGUUACUUUGAAAAAAUUAGAGUGUUUAAAGCAAGCUAACGCUUGAAUACAUUAGCAUGGAAUAAUGAAAUAGGACGUUCGAUCCUAUUUUGUUGGUUUCUAGGAUUGACGUAAUGAUUAAUAGGGAUAGUUGGGGGCAUUAGUAUUCAAUUGUCAGAGGUGAAAUUCUUGGAUUUAUUGAAGACUAACUACUGCGAAAGCAUUUGCCGAGGAUGUUUUCAUUAAUCAAGAACGAAAGUUAGGGGAUCGAAGACGAUCAGAUACCGUCGUAGUCUUAACCAUAAACUAUGCCGACUAGGGAUCGGAUGACGUUAAUUUUUAAUGACUCAUUCGGCGCCUUAC
rnacentral:rRNA from 1 species